UACGAAGGGGGCUAGCGUUGUUCGGAAUCACUGGGCGUAAAGCGCACGUAGGCGGCUUGUUAAGUCAGAGGUGAAAGCAUGGAGCUUAACUCCAGAACUGCCUUUGAUACUGGCAAGCUCGAGUAUGGGAGAGGUUGGUGGAAUUCCGAGUGUAGAGGUGAAAUUCGUAGAUAUUCGGAAGAACACCGGUGGCGAAGGCGGCUAACUGGGCCAUUACUGACGCUGAGGUGCGAAAGCGUGGGGAGCAAACAGG
rnacentral:rRNA from 1 species